rnacentral:rRNA from 1 species
AGUGGCGAACGGGUGAGUAACACGUGGGUAACCUACCAUAUAGACAGGGACAACAGUUGGAAACGACUGCUAAUACCUGAUAACAUAAGCUAUCGCAUGAUAGGUUAUGGAAAGGGGCGUAUGCCUCACUAUGUGAUGGACCCGCGGCGCAUUAGCUAGUUGGUGAGAUAAAAGCUCACCAAGGCGACGAUGCGUAGCCGACCUGAGAGGGUGAACGGCCACAUUGGGACUGAGACACGGCCCAGACUCCUACGGGAGGCAGCAGUAGGGAAUUUUCCACAAUGGGGGCAACCCUGAUGGAGCAAUGCCGCGUGAGAGAAGAAGGCCUUCGGGUUGUAAAUCUCUGUUGUAAGGGAAGAAAAUUGAUAAGAGGAAAUGCUUAUUAAGUGACGGUACCUUACCAGAAAGCCACGGCUAACUACGUGCCAGCAGCCGCGGUAAUACGUAGGUGGCGAGCGUUAUCCGGAAUUAUUG